UACGUAGGGGGCUAGCGUUGUCCGGAAUCAUUGGGCGUAAAGCGCGUGUAGGCGGUCCGGUAAGUCUGCUGUGAAAGUCGAGGGCUCAACCCUCGAAUGCCGGUGGAUACUGUCGGGCUUGAGUACGGGAGAGGCGAGUGGAAUUCCUGGUGUAGCGGUGAAAUGCGCAGAUAUCAGGAGGAACACCGAUUGCGAAGGCAGCUCGCUGGAGCGUUACUGACGCUGAGACGCGAAAGCGUGGGGAGCAAACAGG
rnacentral:rRNA from 1 species